UGAACGCUGGCGGCAUGCCUUACACAUGCAAGUCGAACGGCAGCACGGGUGCUUGCACCUGGUGGCGAGUGGCGAACGGGUGAGUAAUACAUCGGAACAUGUCCUGUAGUGGGGGAUAGCCCGGCGAAAGCCGGAUUAAUACCGCAUACGAUCUACGGAUGAAAGCGGGGGACCUUCGGGCCUCGCGCUAUAGGGUUGGCCGAUGGCUGAUUAGCUAGUUGGUGGGGUAAAGGCCUACCAAGGCGACGAUCAGUAGCUGGUCUGAGAGGACGACCAGCCACACUGGGACUGAGACACGGCCCAGACUCCUACGGGAGGCAGCAGUGGGGAAUUUUGGACAAUGGGCGAAAGCCUGAUCCAGCAAUGCCGCGUGUGUGAAGAAGGCCUUCGGGUUGUAAAGCACUUUUGUCCGGAAAGAAAUCCUUGGCUCUAAUACAGUCGGGGGAUGACGGUACCGGAAGAAUAAGCACCGGCUAACUACGUGCCAGCAGCCGCGGUAAUACGUAGGGUGCGAGCGUUAAUCGGAAUUACUGGGCGUAAAGCGUGCGCAGGCGGUUUGCUAAGACCGAUGUGAAAUCCCCGGGCUCAACCUGGGAACUGCAUUGGUGACUGGCAGGCUAGAGUAUGGCAGAGGGGGGUAGAAUUCCACGUGUAGCAGUGAAAUGCGUAGAGAUGUGGAGGAAUACCGAUGGCGAAGGCAGCCCCCUGGGCCAAUACUGACGCUCAUGCACGAAAGCGUGGGGGAGCAAACAGGAUUAGAUACCCUGGUAGUCCACGCCCUAAACGAUGUCAACUAGUUGUUGGGGAUUCAUUUCCUUAGUAACGUAGCUAACGCGUGAAGUUGACCGCCUGGGGAGUACGGUCGCAAGAUUAAAACUCAAAGGAAUUGACGGGGACCCGCACAAGCGGUGGAUGAUGUGGAUUAAUUCGAUGCAACGCGAAAAACCUUACCUACCCUUGACAUGGUCGGAAUCCCGCUGAGAGGUGGGAGUGCUCGAAAGAGAACCGGCGCACAGGUGCUGCAUGGCUGUCGUCAGCUCGUGUCGUGAGAUGUUGGGUUAAGUCCCGCAACGAGCGCAACCCUUGUCCUUAGUUGCUACGCAAGAGCACUCUAAGGAGACUGCCGGUGACAAACCGGAGGAAGGUGGGGAUGACGUCAAGUCCUCAUGGCCCUUAUGGGUAGGGCUUCACACGUCAUACAAUGGUCGGAACAGAGGGUUGCCAACCCGCGAGGGGGAGCUAAUCCCAGAAAACCGAUCGUAGUCCGGAUUGCACUCUGCAACUCGAGUGCAUGAAGCUGGAAUCGCUAGUAAUCGCGGAUCAGCAUGCCGCGGUGAAUACGUUCCCGGGUCUUGUACACACC
rnacentral:rRNA from 1 species